GGUAAAAUGGCUGAGAACAAGCGGCAAGCUGUAAACUUGCUCACGAAUUUUAUUCUUUUGCCA
rnacentral:tRNA from 1 species